ACGCCAAACUUGCAGGAGUUAA
rnacentral:snRNA from 1 species